rnacentral:snRNA from 1 species
AUACUUACCUGGCAGGGGAGAUACCAUGAUCAAGCAGGUGGUUUUCCCAAGGCGAGGCUCACCCAUUGCACUUGGGGUGUGUUGACCCCUGCGAUUUCCCCAAAUUCGGGAAACUUGACUGCAUAAUUUUGGUAGUGGGGGACUGCGUUUAUGCUCUCCCCUG